rnacentral:rRNA from 1 species
GACGAACGCUGGCGGCGUGCUUAACACAUGCAAGUCGAGCGGUAAGGCCCCUUCGGGGUACGACGAGCGGCGAACGGGUGAGUAACACGUGGGUGACCUGCCCUCAGCUCUGGGAUAAGCCUGGGAAACUAGGGUCUAAUACCGGAUAUGACUCCAUGACGCAUGUCGUGGGGUGGAAAGCCUUGUGCGGCUGGGGAUGGGCCCGCGGCCUAUCAGCUUGUUGGUGGGGUGAUGGCCUACCAAGGCGACGACGGGUAGCCGGCCUGAGAGGGCGACCGGCCACACUGGGACUGAGACACGGCCCAGACUCCUACGGGAGGCAGCAGUGGGGAAUCUUGCGCAAUGGGCGAAAGCCUGACGCAGCGACGCCGCGUGAGGGAUGACGGCCU